CGGAGGGUGCAAGCGUUGUCCGGAUUUAUUGGGUUUAAAGGGUGCGUAGGUGGCCUUAUAAGUCAGCGGUGAAAGUCUGCAGCUUAACUGUAGAACUGCCAUUGAUACUGUAAGGCUUGAGUACUGAUGAGGUAGGCGGAAUUGAUAGUGUAGCGGUGAAAUGCAUAGAUAUUAUCAAGAACACCGAUUGCGAAGGCAGCUUACUAAGGAGUUACUGACACUGAGGCACGAAAGCGUGGGGAUCAAACAGGAUUAGAUACCCUGGUAGUCCACGCCAUAAACGAUGAUUACUCGAUGUAUGCGAUAGACAGUAUGCGUCCAAGCGAAAGCGUUAAAGUAAUCCACCUGGGGAGUACGACCGCAAGGUUG
rnacentral:rRNA from 1 species